UAGAGGUGAGUAAUUUAAAUGAGAUACCCUAUAGUCUUCAUAAAUAGGAGAUAUUUAUUCUGUAAUAAAAUAAAGCUAUUUUAAAAAAAAGGAAUUUUUCUGCUAUAGGAUUCUAUUUAUUUCGAUUAGGUAGUUGAUAGGGUAAAGGCCUACCAAGCCGAUGAUCGAUAGCCAUGUUUGAAAGAGCAGUGGGCCACAUUGGGAAUUAAAUCUCCCAAGUAGAUUUAUGCUACCAGCAGUCAAGAAUAUUAGUCAAUGCUCGCAAGAGUGAACUAGCUAACUGAAAUCAUUAGUGUUUAACACGAGUGAUGUCGUAAGGGAGAAUAAUGAUAUUACCUUACUAAUAGUGUUGUCAAAAGUUGGUGCCAGAAGACUCGGUAAUGCCAAAAACGCAAACGUUAAUCAUCUUAAAACAGGCGUAAAGGGUUUGUAGGCUGCUUUUUGUAGUUUUAACUUUAAUAGAUCGAAGAUAAAAUUCAUAAAAAGCUAGAAUCAAAUAGAGGUUAAAUUGUAUAAUGCUUAGAAGAGGGUCGAUAUCCGUAGAUCCUAAGUGGAAUACUCAAGGCGAAAGCCACUUUCCAUUAAUGAUUGACGCUGAGAAACGAAGGUUAGGGUAGAAAUAGGAUUAGAUACCCAGGUACCCCUAUCUGUCAACGAUGAAUGGUAGUCUUUACUUAAAAAAGUAGAGGCGAAGUUAACACGAUAACCAUUCCGCCUUGUGAGUACGAUUGCAAAAUUGAAAACAAAAAAAUUAGUCGGUCUCGAAGCAAACGAAGUGAAGCAUGUUAUUUAAUACGAUACUCCGCGUAAAACCUUACCAGUUCUUGUAUACAAACUUCUAUGAAGGAGUAUUUAUAAUAUAAAAAUACUUAGUUACAGGUGUUGCAUGGCUGUCUUCAGUUCGUAUUGUGAGAAGUGAGGUUAAUUCCGCUAACGGACGCAAUCCCUGUUGUUAAUUUAUUCUUAACAAUUAAUGGUUCUGAUAGAGAUCCAUUUGGGGCUAAGACAAGUCGUUAUGGCCCUCAUGAACUGGGCUGAUAUGCGUUUUGGGAAAACGCUAAUUUGGCUAAAACUAUUCAAACUCCGGGGACACCCUAAAACUUAUGGUACCAAGCUAUAGUCGAAAGGCUAUAAGUGGAUGGACUAAUCACCCAUGUA
rnacentral:ncRNA from 1 species